rnacentral:rRNA from 1 species
GAUAAACGCUGGCGGCGUGCCUAACACAUGCAAGUCGAACGCCCUGAGAGCAAUUUCAGGGAGUGGCGGACGGGUGAGUAACACGUGGGUACCUACCCCAAGGUGAGGAAUACCGGCGAGAAAUCGCCGACAAGACCGCAUAGGUUUGGGUAACCAAACAAAGCUCGGGUUUACUCGGGCGCCAUGGGAAGGGCCUGCGGCCGAUUAGCUAGUUGGUAAGGUAAAAGCCUACCAAGGCGACGAUCGGUAGCUGGUCUGAGAGGACGAUCAGCCACAC